UGGUGAUUGCCCUCUUUGUUGUCUGGUGUUCUUUAUGUUCCCUACAGGAGCUGCCGAUACAAAGGCCUGACCCAGAAGAAAUUCUGCAUCACCUGUACCAUCAAGAUCAAGAUCAAGAUGUGCCCACAGCAGUGACAGGUUACACGCCGCAUGUUCUCAAGAAAUUCGCAAAAAUGAACACUAGAGUGGGGCAUCCACCCACACUUGGUCUUCCAUCGCUUUCCUAAAGAUCAUGACAGUUUGCCGUCCUGUCCCUGGGCAUGGUCCAGGAGGGUCACACUCCAGGAUUGAAGUGGCAAAAGUGAGGAGAGGUACAGCCCACGCCCUAAACAUCAAGUAAUGCUGGCUCCAUUAGAGCCAGUACACGUCACGUAGGCAACUGUACCCAAACAAAAACUACUGUCAGCAUACCGUCAAUAAAAUACAUCAAAGAAU